rnacentral:rRNA from 1 species
GGUGAACGCUGGCGGCGUGCUUAAGACAUGCAAGUCGAACGGCAGUCUUCGGACUGUAGUGGCGCACGGGUGAGUAACGCGUAACUGACCUACCCCAAAGUCGCGGAUAACGAUUCGAAAGAAUCGCUAAUACGUGAUGUGCUGUCAGAUUGUGUUCUGCCAGUAAAGAUUGAUUGCUCUGGGAUGGGGUUGCGUUCCAUCAGCUAGUUGGUGGGGUAAAGGCCCACCAAGGCGACGACGGAUAGCCGGCCUGAGAGGGUGGCCGGCCACAGGGGCACUGAGACACGGGUCCCACUCCUACGGGAGGCAGCAGUUAGGAAUCUUCCACAAUAGGCGAAAGCCUGAUGGAGCGACGCCGCGUGAGGGAUGAAGGUCUUCGGAUCGUAAACCUCUGAAUCAGGGACGAAAGACACUUCGGUGGGAUGACGGUACCUGAGUAAUAGCACCGGCUAACUCCGUGCCAGCCGCCGCCGUAAGAC